rnacentral:rRNA from 1 species
AAUACCAGUAAGUACUAUCCGGGAGACACACGGCGGGUGCUAACGUCCGUCGUGGAGAGGGAAACAACCCAGACCGCCAGCUAAGGUCCCAAAGUAUAGCUAAGUGGGAAACGAUGUGGGAAGGCUCAGACAGCCAGGAUGUUGGCUUAGAAGCAGCCAUCAUUUAAAGAAAGCGUAAUAGCUCACUGGUCGAGUCGGCCUGCGCGGAAGAUGUAACGGGGCUAAGCUAUACACCGAAGCUGCGGCUACGUACCUUAGGGUAUGUGGGGUAGGGGAGCGUUCUGUAAGCCGUUGAAGGUGGUCUGUAAGGGCUGCUGGAGGUAUCAGAAGUGCGAAUGCUGACAUGAGUAACGAUAAAGGGAGUGAAAAACUCCCUCGCCGGAAGACCAAGGGUUCCUGUCCAACGUUAAUCGGGGCAGGGUAAGUCGACUCCUAAGGCGAGGCCGAAAGGCGUAGUCGAUGGGAAACGGGUUAAUAUUCCCGUACUUCUUACAAUUGCGAUGGGGGGACGGAGAAGGCUAGGUGGGCCUGGCGACGGUUGUCCAGGUUCAAGUAUGUAGGCGGGUGGUUUAGGUAAAUCCGGACCGCUACUAACGCUGAGAUACGAUGUCGAGCUACUACGGUAGUGAAGUCAUUGAUGCCAUGCUUCCAGGAAAAGCCUCUAAGCUUCAGAUUGUAAGGAAUCGUACCCCAAACCGACACAGGUGGUCGGGUAGAGAAUACCAAGGCGCUUGAGAGAACUCGGGUGAAGGAACUAGGCAAAAUGGUACCGUAACUUCGGGAGAAGGUACGCUCUUAUCAGUGAAGUCCCUUGCGGAUGGAGCAGACGAGAGUCGCAGAUACCAGGUGGCUGCAACUGUUUAUUAAAAACACAGCACUGUGCAAAAUCGUAAGAUGACGUAUACGGUGUGACGCCUGCCCGGUGCCGGAAGGUUAAUUGAUGGGGUUAGACUUCGGUCGAAGCUCUUGAUCGAAGCCCCGGUAAACGGCGGCCGUAACUAUAACGGUCCUAAGGUAGCGAAAUUCCUUGUCGGGUAAGUUCCGACCUGCACGAAUGGCGUAAUGAUGGCCACGCUGUCUCCACCCGAGACUCAGUGAAAUUGAAAUCGCUGUGAAGAUGCAGUGUACCCGCGGCUAGACGGAAAGACCCCGUGAACCUUUACUACAGCUUGGCACUGAACAUUGAACCUACAUGUGUAGGAUAGGUGGGAGACUAUGAAAUUGCGUCGCUAGAUGUGAUGGAGUCGUCCUUGAAAUACCACCCUUGUAGUUUUGAUGUUCUA